GAGGGUAGUUAUCGGAUUCUGGGCGUAAGCGCGCGUAGGUGGUUAAUUAAGUCAAAUGUGAAAUCCCCGAGCUUAACUUGGGAAUUGCAUUCGAUACUGGUUAGCUAGAGUAUGGGAGAGGAUGGUAGAAUUCCAGGUGUAGCGGUGAAAUGCGUAGAGAUCUGGAGGAAUACCGAUGGCGAAGGCAGCCAUCUGGCCUAAUACUGACACUGAGGUGCGAAAGCAUGGGGAGCAAACAGGAUUAGAUACCCUGGUAGUCCAUGCCGUAAACGAUGUCUACUAGCCGUUGGGGGAUUUGAUCCUUUAGUGGCGCAGCUAACGCGAUAAGUAGACCGCCUGGGGAGUACGGUCGCAAGACUAAAACUCAAAUGAAUUGACGGGGGCCCGCACAAGCGGUGGAGCAUGUGGUUUAAUUCGAUGCAACGCGAAGAACCUUACCUGGCCUUGACAUAGUAGAAACUUUCCAGAGAUGGAUUGGUGCCUUCGGGAAUCUACAUACAGGUGCUGCAUGGCUGUCGUCAGCUCGUGUCGUGAGAUGUUGGGUUAAGUCCCGCAACGAGCGCAACCCUUUUCCUUACUUGCCAGCAUUUCGGAUGGGAACUUUAAGGAUACUGCCAGUGACAAACUGGAGGAAGGCGGGGACGACGUCAAGUCAUCAUGGCCCUUACGGCCAGGGCUACACACGUGCUACAAUGGUCGGUACAAAGGGUUGCUACACAGCGAUGUGAUGCUAAUCUCAAAAAGCCGAUCGUAGUCCGGAUCGCAGUCUGCAACUCGACUGCGUGAAGUCGGAAUCGCUAGUAAUCGCGGAUCAGAAUGCCGCGGUGAAUACGUUCCCGGGCCUUGUACACACCGCCCGUCACACCAUGGGAGUUUGUUGCACCAGAGUAGUAGUCUAACCGCAAGGAGGACGCUUACCACGGUGUGCCGAUGACUGGGGUGAGCUAGGGG
rnacentral:rRNA from 1 species